GUGUAUUUCUCUGUCCUGAAUGGUCUUGCAUUUAUUUGUAAUGUAGUCCUGUCAUGUAAUGUUGUCAUUUUAAUGUUAUAUUUAACCUUGCCAUAAAGCGCGAGUUAAAGCUAGCCAGUAAAAUAGGUUCAACGCACCAUUUCUUCUUAAAAUACCCUGUACCAAGUGAGGAAAAUGGCAGUUGUUAUCUUUUAGUUCGUUUCGAUGUUUUGCAUUGUCGUUUUAUUAUUUUUUGUUACACUUAAGUGUAUUUUCUGUUGUUUCGUUGUUUUCCUGUUGUAGUUGAUGUGCUUCCUUCGGAUUUAGUUUGUAACCCGGAUUUGUUUUCUCUCAAUCGACGUAUGACCUUAUUACAGCGGUAUACUACUGUUGCUCUUAUUGAACUAAUCUAUCUAUUCAUCUUGAAAUUGGCAACGCGAGUAUUUAACAAAGCCUUAUAAAAGCCUUUGCUCAUUGUUGAAGGCUGUACGGUGACCUAUAUAGUUGUUAAUGUCUGUGUCAUUUUGGUCUUUUGUGGAUAGUU
rnacentral:lncRNA from 1 species